rnacentral:ribozyme from 14 species
UUUCAAUUUCAAUUUCUUUCGCUCUUUUUGUUUUUUCUGUUUGUUUGUUGUUGUCAGAGCAGUACACUAUCACGACAGGCUAGGACACAGCACCACGCAGCAGAACAACAGAACAACCGGACACAAUGGUAAAGAAUUCUAAUCCUCUACCUUCCCUCUUCGUUUUUAUAUUUUUUAUUCCAACA